rnacentral:pre_miRNA from 1 species
ACAACAUUCGGACCGUCUACCGAACAAUAUCACCCGCUCGGUGGAAAAUCUUCCCUUUGUCGU